UAGAGUUUGAUCCUGGCUCAGAUUGAACGCUGGCGGCAGGCCUAACACAUGCAAGUCGAGCGGUAACAGAAAGUAGCUUGCUACUUUGCUGACGAGCGGCGGACGGGUGAGUAAUGCUUGGGAACAUGCCUUGAGGUGGGGGACAACAGUUGGAAACGACUGCUAAUACCGCAUAAUGUCUACGGACCAAAGGGGGCUUCGGCUCUCGCCUUUAGAUUGGCCCAAGUGGGAUUAGCUAGUUGGUGAGGUAAUGGCUCACCAAGGCGACGAUCCCUAGCUGGUUUGAGAGGAUGAUCAGCCACACUGGGACUGAGACACGGCCCAGACUCCUACGGGAGGCAGCAGUGGGGAAUAUUGCACAAUGGGCGCAAGCCUGAUGCAGCCAUGCCGCGUGUGUGAAGAAGGCCUUCGGGUUGUAAAGCACUUUCAGUCAGGAGGAAAGGUUAGUAGUUAAUACCUGCUAGCUGUGACGUUACUGACAGAAGAAGCACCGGCUAACUCCGUGCCAGCAGCCGCGGUAAUACGGAGGGUGCGAGCGUUAAUCGGAAUUACUGGGCGUAAAGCGUACGCAGGCGGUUUGUUAAGCGAGAUGUGAAAGCCCCGGGCUCAACCUGGGAACUGCAUUUCGAACUGGCCAAACUAGAGU
rnacentral:rRNA from 1 species